UUCUCUCUCCCUCCCUAUCUCUCUCCCAAUCCCUCCCUUCCCCUAUUCUUCCUUCCCUCCUUCCUCCCUCCCUCCCUCCCUCCUUCCGUUCUUUCUCCAUCUUCCCUCCCUCCCUACUUCAUAUUUGCUCUGGGUACCAGUUGGUGUCCUGUUGGUGAAGUGACAUCUGCAUGUUCCUUCAUUCAAUAGGCACUUACCGAGGACCCGCCAAAGGCCCUAUGUCAUAUCCUGUGUGUGGCAUGCUGGUGAGUUAAGCAGGUUACGUCCUUGCCUAUUUGGGUUUCUGUUCCAGUGGAAGGAGGCAGAAGCAAACAGGAUGGCCACAGAUCUUCUUAACCCACAGGGAGAAAAUGAGUCUAGAAUGGUUGGGGUUUUGGAUGUCUUUCCAAGUGGAAAUGGAUGUUUGUGCAAAUUAGCAGUUAGUAUGUGACAUCAUCUGAAGUCAAGGAAAUUUUAAGAAUGGAAAUUGCUGAUUUCAAAGAAAUGCAAAGGGGUAAGAAUUCUACCAAGGAGGCAUUUCUUUCCAUGGGCUUACUUCAGGGUUGCCUCGCCCUUUCAGCUGAGGACCUUGUCAUCAUCCCUUGCAUUUGUGGAAUGUUCUAUGAUGAUAUGCCAUCCCUUCUGGCAGUCAUAUUACUUGGUUUGGGGAGAAGCCCUGACCAGGAAUUUUCCUGAUGUUGCAGAUCAGGAACCAAGGCUCAAAUAACCUCCUCAAGUGCAGCCAGUUACUUCAGAUGUUGGAACGCUGCUCUGAGAACUUUAAAGGCUGACAGCUAAAUUUAAUCAGGGUUAAAUCACUGAAACGAAGCCGUCGCUCUUAUGUAACAAACGAACCAGCCACUCUGCCAGCGUUUUCUUUCCCUACAAGGCCAGAUGCUUUCCACAUGACACAAGGCCAGAUAAUAUUCAGGCAGUGGCCAUAAACUCUGACUCUUAAGAUUACGACUUCCCAAAGUGAAUCAGGAAUCGUGGACCUUCUCUUCUCUAAGGUAUGAGAUAUAGUCAAAGGAGAAGUGGCCCGUGGCGCUUGUGACAGGAGCCAGCCUCCGAGAGGUACCUGUACCUUGCCUGUGCUCUUUCAUAACCUGAGACAUUGCCGCCAGCUGUCUCAACAAGUGCUUCGGUUGUUGGGAGCCACUACGGCAAACUUUGGACUCAUGAAGUUCAAGUUGUCACCUCCAAGUCUGUUGUUUCCUGGUUGUAAUUAAUUCUUCUGAUCUUUGGGUUUUCCAGCAGGGACAAGAAGGCUUGCCUCAAAGUCAUCAGGAGAAGUAACCACUGAAGAUAUCUGGAAUACAAUAGGUCAAAGCUCUUCCAUGGUUCCCCUCCCUUCCUUUCUCACGCAGGUGCAGGCUCGGCGUGGGGUCAGGCAUCUCAGUCCAUCUCAGGAAAGUCCUCGUGAGAUUCGAAUUUCUAACUGGGUUAGGAAUUCUUCUAACCUUCCAGUUCAUUGGUUAUUAAUCCCAAGGCUUGCAAAUAAUUGUCUCUGAUGUGUGUAAAAUUAAGAAUUUAAUACUCUUUUCGGAUA